UGCCUGAAAUUUUAAAGCCACUAUGAUUUA
rnacentral:piRNA from 1 species